GAUGAACGCUAGCGGCAGGCCUAACACAUGCAAGUCGAGGGAGGAGCCUUCGGGCUUCGACCGGCGUACGGGUGCGUAACGCGUAUACAAUCUGCCUUUCACAUAGGGAUAGCCCGAAGAAAUUUGGAUUAAUACCUAAUGGUAUAUAGAUGUUGCAUCACCUUUAUAUUAAAGCUGAGGCGGUGAAAGAUGAGUAUGCGUUCUAUUAGCUAGUUGGAGAGGUAACGGCUCCGCAAGGCGACGAUAGAUAGGGGUUCUGAGAGGGAUAUCCCCCACACUGGUACUGAGAUACGGACCAGAAUGCUACGGGAGGCAGCAGUAAGGAAUAUGGGACGAUGGUCGGAAGACUGAUCCAGCCAUGCCGCGUGCAGGAAGACGGCCUUAUGGGUUGUAAACUGCUUUUGAAGGGGAAGAAUAAGGACUACGCGUAGUUUGAUGACGGUACUCUGCGAAUAAGCAUCGGCUAACUCCGUG
rnacentral:rRNA from 1 species